UAAGUUGGGCAUCGGCCCAUUUCCAGUGGGGGCUUUUCUUCUUCUUCUUCUGAUGACUUGAAACUUGCCCUUUCAUUCCUGCAACGCAGUAGUUGAAACUAAUUAGCUUCUGGAUACGAUUCCUGCUCUGCUCACCAUCUGACCCUGAAACCCGAGCUCACGGCUGAACCUGUCUGCGGGGUUCAGUACAGACGUUGUCGCCACGCGGCAGCUGUCCUCCUGGGGAGAACGGUGCCUGGCGAUACCCAGAUACCCACGUGCCUUCCCAAGACACCUGCAAACUCCAGAGCGCUCCCUCCCAUCUACUCAGAGUCAGCCUUCGGGCCUUGCCACCUCCUCAGUCCAGCCCAGCCUUUGUCCCUCCAGGACAGCCACAAAACGACCACCAUCUCGGAAAGGAUCUCAGGCGAAUCUUCUGAAUAGGAGCCAUGUCCUCCCAGGAACGAGCCCCAACCCUGGAAUGUCAGGUGCUCGGAUGGGCCCAGGUCCCAAGAGUCAGGAAGACAGAUAUAGAUUCAUGGGAAGAGAUGAUAUAAACACAAGGCUGUUCCUUGCAGCGUAAUUCAAAACAACACAAGAGCGGAACCACCCACAUGAGAAAUUGUUCCAGGUACUGAAAUAGAAAGAUCUGUCCAAAGAGUUUAAGU